rnacentral:rRNA from 1 species
GACGAACGCUGGCGGCGUGCUUAACACAUGCAAGUCGAACGGUGAAGCGCCUUCCUUUUUGGUGGGUGUGGAUGAGUGGCGAACGGGUGAGUAACACGUGAGUAACCUGCCCCCUUCUUCUGGAUAACCGCAUGAAAGUGUGGCUAAUACGGGAUAUUCUGGGUCUGUCGCAUGAUGGGUCUGGGACAGAUAUUGUUUCGGUGGGGGAUGGGCUCGCGGCCUAUCAGCUUGUUGGUGGGGUGAUGGCCUACCAAGGCGGUGACGGGUAGCCGGCCUGAGAGGGUGGACGGUCACGCGGGGACUGAGACACGGCCCAGACGCCUACGGGAGGCAGCAGUGGGGAAUAUUGCACGAUGGGCGCAAGCCUGAUGCAGCGACGCCGCGUGAGGGAUGGAGGCCUUCGGGUUGUGAACCUCUUUCGCCAGUGAAGCAGGCCUGCCUCGUUUGUGGGUGGGUUGACGGUAGCUGGAUAAGAAGCGCCGGCUAACUACGU